rnacentral:sRNA from 1 species
UUAUUUUUGUAUUCACUUUUACUCGAGUUUACAUAUCCUAACUUUUUCUCACGGCUUAAUUUUUUUUCCAGACAAUAUAGAUGACAUUGGGAAACUCAUCAAUUAGCUCAUGCACAUUAUUCACCAUAACAUCAUGUCAUCAUCUCCAUUUGAUCCGUAUAUACCCGUUGUCGUUCAUCAUCUUUGUGGCUACAUCAUUUUUGCAGUUGAUAGAUAACCACUAAAAAAUUCUGGGAAAAAAGUUGAAUUUGAACGAACCCAUCUGCUGCAGUCUCCUUUUCUAAACUUACAGGUACUACAGCAAUUGGAUGUUUGAUUGCAAUAACUGCCUUGGCUUUUGAUAUAAUUCUUCGAGGAACGCCUUAUCUUGUUCUUUACUUCAACCAAGGAGCUCAACCGGGUUUGGUAGGUUAUAGUGAUAGCAGCCAUAACGUGGAUGUGGAUGAUGGUAUGAGUAUAGGCGGUCAUGUUUUGUUUUUAUCAUAAUGUGAUAUAACUAUUCCCGAGCACCACCCGGAACUAGAACCAGCGGACUAGCUUGUAGUCGAGGAACUACUUGUAGCCGAGGAGCAGCGUGUAGCGGAGGAAGCUUUGGAGGAAGCUUUAGCUGAACCAAGAAGACAAAUGACUCGCUCGAAGACCAAACUUCUCAACCAAGCUAUUUCGGACUACCCAAACACUUGGACAAUAACCACGAUGGUUGCGAUAUCUUUCCAAGACGAUUGGUAAUGGGCUAAGUGUUGCUUUGGGUGCUCUUUUUGCCUGCUAAAGUUUUGUCCCAUUGGGUUUUCCUUAGUAGGUUUUUAACGAGGCCUAAAUAACACUUUCAAAACCCCCAUUAUCAAUCCGGCCCAAGCCCAAUAAGAGGAGCAAAAAUUUGGAAGGCCAAGAGUCUAUUUUGUGUUCAAACUUUCAUUUAUGAUUUCUCCUUUUCCGAGUUAUCUUGGAGUUUGUUCCAAGACUAACUAUUCCCCUUUUCUUCUUCUCUAUUUAAACUCUUGUAUUUCCUCUUUGUAAACUCAUCAAUCUUUUUAUUCUCAAACUCUUUUAAGCUAGAUCAAAGGUAAAUCAAAGAACUUUUCGCAACCUUUGUGUGACCCAUCGCUCCACCGGUAAAUCAAAGGCUAUCCGCAACCUUUGUGCGACAUUCGCUCAACAUCCUUUGGUUUGAGUGAUCUCACGAUCGCUUAGAUGCAAAGCCUAUCUCCUACUCAACCUCAAGAGUGUCGAUCUUAGGGAAGUCAUAUUACAAUGAGUGUCCGAUCACUUGGUGUUCUUAGAAGCAACAAAUUGUGGCGCUUUCUUCAUGUGAAGUUGAGUUCAGGCAGCCACUGAAGCGGCUAAGCAAGCCAUUUGGCUCCAACACCUGUUUGCUGAAGUCAUGGGAACAACAUGUGAGAAGGUGAUGAUACGAGUUGAUGAUAAAUCCGCAAUCGCACUAACUAAAAAUCCGUUGUUCCAUGGGAGAAGCAAACACAUUCAUCGGAGGUACCAUUUCAUACGAGAAUGUGUAGAGAAUGGUCAAGUUGAGGUAGAACAUGUUCCCAGAAUUGAACAAAAGGCUGAUAUCCUAACGAAUGCGCUUGGAAGAGUCAAGUUCGGAGAAAUGAGGGAUCUCAUUGGAGUUCAAGAUGUGCCAAAGGAAGAUUUCAAGCUUAAGGGGGAGGAUGUUGGUUUAAACUUGAAGAUAACUUGAGUGAUAAGUUAUUAAUUAAAAGAGAGAUAAUGUGGGAAUCAUUAGGAGUUCUCUAAAGGUUAUAUGUUUAGGAGUUAUCUAAACAUAUUCCUAAUGUGAUUAGGAUUAGUCUUAGGAUUAGUCUUAGGUGUGGUAUACCUUUAAGAAUUUUAAGAGAGAGAUUGGGGAUCUUUGGUUUUGAGUUAUUUUCUAAAGUUAAUAAGAGAAGUGCUUUUAUAUUUCCUUGAUCUUAUAUUCAAACUCUAGAGAGCCUAUAAGAUU